rnacentral:sRNA from 3 species
AUGUACCACGCGGACACUCCGGUUGCUCCGCGCGUCCGCACCCAGCUGAUGACUGCUCGCGACGUUUCGUUAGCC